GAUGAACGCUAGCGGGAGGCCUAACACAUGCAAGCCGAGCGGUAUUUGUUCUUCGGAACAGAGAGAGCGGCGCACGGGUGCGGAACACGUGUGCAACCUGCCUUUAUCUGGGGGAUAGCCUUUCGAAAGGAAGAUUAAUACCCCAAAAUAUAUUGAGUGGCAUAAUUUGAUAUUGAAAAAUCCGGUGGAUAGAGAUGGGCCCGCGCAAGAUUAGAUAGUUGGUGAGGUAACGGCUUACCAAGGCAAUGAUCUUUAGGGGGUCUGAGAGGGUGAUCCCCCACGCUGGGACAGAGACACGGACCAGACUCCGGCGGGAGGCAGCAGGGAUGUAGAGUGGACAAUGAGUUCGCGCCUGAGCCAUCCCGCCCGCGUGAAGGACGACGGCCCAUUGUGUUGUAAACUACUUUUGUAGAGGGAUAAGCCUACUCUCGUGAGAGUAGCUUGAGGUACUAUACGAAUAAGCACCGGCUAACCCCGUGC
rnacentral:rRNA from 1 species